CUCUUGGAGCUGCUGCAGAUCUGCGUGUGGGAAUCAACUAUAUCCCAAAUGAGUUUUUUUGGACCCAAGGUAUUGUGUUUUCCAUCACAAGUUAACUUAUUGAAAGUCUGAGAAUGUAAGAGUGAUAUCCAAUUUUUUAGCUGCACCACGACAUCAGUUAUUCGCUUCCUUAAUAAUGAUCGUUUCAGCUUAAUAAGAUCAAAUUGCUGUUUUCCAUUUUCAAUGGUGUGCAUAGUCUAAUCAAUCAUAGGUUAUUGUCACCUUAUGCAAACACUAUCUAUUAUGUUCUUACCUUCAAUCAUCUUCAUUUUGCUUUCCCUUUACAUGAUAUGGAUCGUACUUCAUGGCCAGAUGGAUGGAGAAGAAUCCAAGUUCUAAAUGGCUGAGUGUAGUUGGCUAGGUUUUUGGUUUCUUGGCUUAUCUUUUGCGAAGGAUGUAAUUUAAGAAAAAUAAGUUUACCCAGUGUGAAUGAGAUAUCCAAACAUGCUUUUUAUAUUACUUAGUAAACAGAGAUGUAGUUUUGCUGGUUGUCAUUGGUACAACUAGCAAAACUAGAAAAAUGAUGUUGGAGGUCUAUGGUUACUUGAGAGCAUGAAAUAAUGGAUCAGGUUAACUUUCUACUAGAUUCCCAGGACCAGCUUUUGGCAAUGGAAGUGUAAGACUCCUGUGUGGAAAUUGCUUAUUGGUUUUCUGUCCCCACCAAUUCGAAUUAAAGCCUACUAGCUGGAUCUUUACAUGUUGAAAAAUUGUCUCUUAAUUUUACUUAAUUGUUUGAUAUCGAACCCAAAGGUUGAGUCACAGCAUCUAAGCAUCUAAUAUGAAUUUUUCAUGUGCUGUGAUUUUUUCCUUAAUAUAUCUAAAAAUUUUUCUUCCUAGUCAUAUUUCAUUCACAACCUUUUUGGUCCAUUCCCUUUCAGGUAUGCUGCACCAGAGCAAUAC
rnacentral:misc_RNA from 1 species